UUCUUCAUUAAACUACUC
rnacentral:tRNA from 2 species